rnacentral:tRNA from 2 species
GCCGCAAUGGUGGAAUAGGUAGACACGAUGGACUUAAAAUCCAUUUAUCAAAAGAGAUAGUGCAGGUUCAACUCCUGUUUGCGGCA